rnacentral:rRNA from 1 species
UAGUCGGGUGAGAAUCCCGACCGCCGGAGGGGCCAGGGUUCCUCGGCUCUAAUCUUUAGCCGAGGGUUAGCCGGGCCUAAGGCCACCCCCAACUGGAGGUGGCCGAAAGAGAAUCCGGUUAAUAUUCCGGAACCGCGGGGGUAGGAUUGCGGCAACGCAAGCCUCGCCCCGGACGGGUUGGGAUAGGCGGCCUGGGGCCGUCGCCCCAGCUAACUGGUGAAGCCCCCUGAGUUCCGUAAUGGAGGGAAGGGGGCGAAGCCAGGAAUGGCCGCCCGUUUGAGGGCGGUGCCGCCGAUUCCCAGCUCCCCUGAAAACGGGGCGAGGAAAUCCGAUCCUCCGCGCCCGUACCGAGAACCGAGACAGGUGCCCCUGGGUGAGAAGCCUAAGGCGGGGCGGGUGAUAGGGGGCUAGGGAACUCGGUGCCAUUAGCGCCGUACCUUCGGAAGAAGGCGUGCCUGCGGGUGAGUAGCCCGCAGGUCGCAGUGACAAGGGGGUCCCGACUGUUUAAUAAAAACAUAGCCGGCCGCUAGGCCGUAAGGCUUAGAUCGGCCGGUGAGUCCUGACCCAGUGGGGUCACCCGAAACCCGGGUACAACCGGGAUAAGGGGCCCCAAACGGCGGGAGUAACUAUGACUCUCUUAAGGUAGCCAAAUGCCUUGCCGGGUAAGUUCCGGCGUGCAUGAACGGAUUAACGAGGGCCCCGUUGUCCCAGCCCCCUGCCCGGCGAAUCCAUCGGCCAAGUGAACAGUCUUGGCCCCCCCGAUCGGGAGAGCAGACCCCGUGGAGCCUAACUGCAGCCUGCCGUUGCGGUUUUGCCCGUUGUGCAGAGCGUAGGCGGGAGCGAUGGGCCCGGGGCUCCGGCUCCGGGUGACGCGCCCAUGGAACACCGCCCACAACGGGCAAAACCGCUUACCCGAGGAGGGGACAGCGGCAGGUGGGCAGUCUGGCUGGGGCGGCACGCCCGUGAUAAGAAAUCACGGGCCCGCAAAGGUCGGCUCACCCGGGACAGAAACCCGGGGUAGAGUGCAAGGGCAAAAGCCGGCCUGACUGGGAGCCUCACAACGGGGCUCCCAGGGGCGAAAGCCGGCCCUAGCGAACCCCGGUGCCCUACUGGUGAGGGCCCGGGAUAUGGGAAAGGUUACCCCGGGGGUAACAGGACAGUGGGGAGCGAUCGCCCCUAGAGACCUCCCCGCUUGUCACUCCGCUGUCGGCUCUUCCCAUCCUGGCCGUGUAUAAGCGGCCAAGGGUGGGUCUGUUCGACCAUCAAAGGGGAUCGUGAGCUGGGUUUAGAGCGCCGCAAGGCAGCUCGGACUUCUCCUGUCGGGGGUGCUGCCGCCUGAGGGGAGGGGGCCCUUAGUACGAGAGGAACAGGGCCCCCGGGCCACUGGUCUACGGGCCGUCCGACAGGGCGUCGCCCGGCAGCUACGCCCGAGCGGGUAACCGCUGAAAGCAUCUAAGCGGGAACCCGUCCCCAAGACGAGGCGGCGAGGGCUCCCGUAGAACACGGGGUUGAUAGGGCGGGGCUGUAUGGCCCGAGACGAUGAGUCGAGGGCCGAGGCCGCCGCUACUAAUCGCCCGGGUUGCCC